UUGUUGACCACCCAGCCCUCUUAAUCUGACAUCACUUGGGUCGCUGAUAUGUAAUGGAUUUCUUCGAUGAUUAUAAAAUGAAACCAUUUCAGAAUUCAGAAAUUUAAGUAUGCAUUUUUAUCUCAUUUGCUUAAUUUUUAAUAUGAUGUCUUAAAAUUAAAUAUCUGUAAUUUUUAAUUGUAGACGUAGAAGCAAUAGUUUUCGCCGACGUCAUUACUCGUUAGGUAGCGCGCGUGCACUUGAGGUAAUAGAAAAAUUUAAAAAGGCGGGCAAUUUAAACAGUGGGCGGUACAACGUUUUAAUUUCGAGCUUGCUCAAAGAGGGGCAGCAUGUAUGGGAAUGAAGAUUGAUCUGAUCGAGAGGAGAGCCAUGGCUGAGAAGUAGACAUGCCUGCGGCACAUUAUUGUUCCCAAAUCCCCGCGUAUGUUGGGCCAAUGUUUGACCAAUGUCAUCGGUUACAAUGAACCAACGUUGGCAAUUUUGUUCAUCGGUCCAACGUUGGCCUAAUAGAAGAUCCAAUCAUAAUUCCAGAGCCAUUAGAUGUAUUUUGGCCUAUAACUGGCUUCCAGCAACUCGCACCAGAACACAAGCCAAUGCCACAGUUAACAUAUCUCCAGAUUGAACAAUACUUUCUGUCUAGAAUGACAGAAGACAAACAGAUAACAUCGGACUUAAA